rnacentral:rRNA from 1 species
CGCCUCUUGAUGAAAAUAAGAGGUCCAGCCUGCCCAGUGAUAUAUAUUCAACGGCCGCGGUAUUCUAACCGUGCGAAGGUAGCGUAAUCACUUGUUCUUUAAAUGAGGACUAGUAUGAAUGGCACCACGAGGGUUAUACUGUCUCCUCUUUCCAAUCAGUGAAACUAAUCUCCCCGUGAAGAAGCGGGGAUUAAAAUAUAAGACGAGAAGACCCUAUGGAGCUUUAAAUUUCUUACAAUUGCUUAAACCUAUAAUUAAGUCCCAGACUAUCUAAAUAUAUUUUAGCAAAAUGUUAACGAAUUUUAGGUUGGGGUGACCGCGGAGCACAAUAAAACCUCCAUGUUGAACUGAGCCUUAAGCCCUGAACACAGAGCUACAACUCUAAGUACUAAUACAUUAACAUACAUUGACCCAAUAUUCUUUGAUCAACGAACCAAGUUACCCUAGGGAUAACAGCGCAAUCCACUUUAAGAGCCCCUAUCGACAAGUGGGUUUACGACCUCGAUGUUGGAUCAGGGUAUCCCAGUGGUGCAGCCGCUACUAAAGGUUCGUUUGUUCAACGAUUAAAACCCUACGUGAUCUGAGU